rnacentral:rRNA from 1 species
AUUGAACGCUGGCGGCAGGCCUAACACAUGCAAGUCGAACGAGUGGCGGACGGGUGAGUAAUAUCUGGGAAACUGCCUGAUGGCGGGGGAUAACUACUGGAAACGGUAGCUAAUACCGCAUACUCUCGGAAGCGCCCAGAUGGGAUUAGCUAGUAGGUGGGGUAAAGGCUCACCUAGGCGACGAUCCCUAGCUGGUUUGAGAGGAUGACCAGCCACACUGGAACUGAGACACGGUCCAGACUCCUACGGGAGGCAGCAGUGGGGAAUAUUGCACAAUGGGCGAAAGCCUGAUGCAGCCAUGCCGCGUGUAUGAAGAAGGCCUUCGGGUUGUAAAGUACUUUCAGCAGGGAGGCGUUACCCGCAGAAGAAGCACCGGCUAACUACGUGCCAGCAGCCGCGGUAAUUC